GAUGAAGAACGUAGCGAAAUGCGAUAAGUAAUGCGAAUUGCAGAAUUCAGUGAGUCAUCGAAUCUUUGAACGCACAUUGCGCCCUGUGGUAUUCCGCAGGGCAUGCCUGUUCGAGCGUCAUUUCAACCCUCAAGCCCCGCUUGGUGUUGGGCCCCGCCCGCUGUGGCCGGCCCUAAAGACAGUGGCGGCGCCGCCUGGCCCUCAGCGUAGUACAUCUCUCGCUCCAGGGUCCGGUGGCCGCCUGCCAGAACCCCCCAACUCUGUGGUUGACCUCGGAUCAGGUAGGGAUACCCGCUGAACUUAAGUAUAUCAAUAAGCGGAGGA
rnacentral:misc_RNA from 1 species